rnacentral:sRNA from 1 species
UUUUGUUUUGGUUUCUAAUGAUUGGUAUUUAACAUUCUCAGAGAAAUCAUUCCUUGUUUGGAAGUGUUGUCAGCGCCAUGGCAGGAGUGCGUCCUAUCCUUCCCUUCUUAAAUAGAACUCAGUCUCUGAAAGGGACCAAGGGACAUAACACUUCUAAUUUAUCUCCCAUCAUUGCUGUCAGUACAGCAGCCACAAAGAUGUUAGGGAUGAAUGGGACUAUUGGUAGUGCCACAUCUUGCAAUCAUC